rnacentral:rRNA from 1 species
AAGUUGGUUUCACCUUAAGGCAAAUUGUUAACCUUCGGGAUACAUUUGACUACGGUAUGAUCAACAACUGGGGUGAAGUCGUAACAAGGUAGCCGUAGGGGAACCUGCGGCUGGAUCACCUCCUUU